rnacentral:tRNA from 1 species
AAAUAAUUUACAUAAGUUAAACUUUAAAUUUAAUUAAUUUUUA